CUUGUUUUACAAAACAUGGUCUUUUGUUUAUAUAAAAGAUUUGGCCUGCCCUAUGAUUUACUUUAAAUGGCUGCAGUAUUUUGACUGUACAAAGGUAGCAUAAUCAUUUGUCUUUUAAUUGAAGGCUGGUAUGAAUGGUUGGAUGAAAAAUAUACUUUCUUUAUUUUAUAAAAUGAAUUUGAUUUUUAAGUUAAAAAGCUUAAAUACUUUCAUAGGACGAGAAGACCCUAUAGAACUUUACUUUUUUUAGUAUAAAAUUUUUAUAUUUUUAAAAAAAAUUAUAUAUUUUUAUUAGUUUUGUUGGGGUGAUUGAAAAAAUAAUAUAACUUUUUCUAUUUUUUUCAUUUAUAUAUGUUUUUUUGAUCCUAUAUUAUGGAUAAUAAGAUUAAGUUACCUUAGGGAUAACAGCGUUAUUUUUCUGGAGAGUUCAUAUCGAUAGAAAAGUUUGCGACCUCGAUGUUGGAUUAAAAUAAGUCACAGGGGUAUAAUAUUGUGGUUCUAGGUCUGUUCGACCUUUAAAUUUUUACAUGAUCUGGUUUCCAACCGGGAAA
rnacentral:rRNA from 1 species